CCCUGGUAGUCCACGCUGUAAACGAUGUCGACUUGGAGGUUGUGCCCUUGAGGCGUGGCUUCCGGAGCUAACGCGUUAAGUCGACCGCCUGGGGAGUACGGCCGCAAGGUUAAAACUCAAAUGAAUUGACGGGGGCCCGCACAAGCGGUGGAGCAUGUGGUUUAAUUCGAUGCAACGCGAAGAACCUUACCUACUCUUGACAUCCACGGAAUUCGCCAGAGAUGGMUUAGUGCCUUCGGGAACCGUGAGACAGGUGCUGCAUGGCUGUCGUCAGCUCGUGUUGUGAAAUGUUGGGUUAAGUCCCGCAACGAGCGCAACCCUUAUCCUUUGUUGCCAGCACGUAAUGGUGGGAACUCAAAGGAGACUGCCGGUGAUAAACCGGAGGAAGGUGGGGAUGACGUCAAGUCAUCAUGGCCCUUACGAGUAGGGCUACACACGUGCUACAAUGGCAUAUACAAAGAGAAGCCAACUCGCGAGAGCAAGCGGACCUCAUAAAGUAUGUCGUAGUCCGGAUUGGAGUCUGCAACUCGACUCCAUGAAGUCGGAAUCGCUAGUAAUCGUAGAUCAGAAUGCUACGGUGAAUACGUUCCCGGGCCUUGUACACACCGCCCGUCACACCAUGGGAGUGGGUUGCAAAAGAAGUAGGUAGCUUAACCUUCGGGAGGGCGCUUACCACUUUGUGAUUCAUGACUGGGGUGAAGU
rnacentral:rRNA from 1 species